UGGGGAAUAUUGGACAAUGGGGGGAACCCUGAUCCAGCCAUGCCGCGUGUGUGAAGAAGGCCUUAUGGUUGUAACGCACUUUAAGCGAGGAGGAGGGUACUGGUAUUAAUACUACCAGGUACUGGACGUUACUCGCAGAAUAAGCACCGGCUAACUCUGUGCCAGCAGCCGCGGUAAUACAGAGGGUGCGAGCGUUAAUCGGAUUUACUGGGCGUAAAGCGUGCGUAGGCGGCUAAUUGAGUCGGAUGUGAAAUCCCCGAGCUUAACUUGGGAAUUGCAUUCGAUACUGGUUAGCUAGAGUGUGGGAGAGGAUGGUAGAAUUCCAGGUGUAGCGGUGAAAUGCGUAGAGAUCUGGAGGAAUACCGAUGGCGAAGGCAGCCAUCUGGCCUAACACUGACGCUGAGGUACGAAAGCAUGGGGAGCAAACAGG
rnacentral:rRNA from 1 species